rnacentral:rRNA from 1 species
GACGAACGCUGGCGGCGUGCCUAAUACAUGCAAGUCGAACGCACGGUUUAUACCGUCGCUUGCUACACGAUAGACUGUGAGUUGUGAACCGGUGAUUAACUCGUAGGUAACCUGCCUGGUAGCGGGUGGUAACUAUUGGAAACGAUAGCUAAUAUCUCAUAAUAUUAAUUAUUGCAUGAUAAUUAAUUGUAAUGUGCAAUUGCACCACUACCAGAUGGACCUGCGUUGUAUUAGCUAGUAGGUGAGGUAACGGCUCACCUAGGCGACGAUACAUAGCCGACCUGAGAGGGUGAUCGGCCACACUGGAACUGAGACACGGCCCAGACUCCUACGGGAGGCAGCAGUAGGGAAUCUGCGGCAAUGGACGAAAGUCUGACGGAGCAACGCCGCGUGAGUGAAGAAGGUUUUCGGAUCGUAAAGCUCUGUUGUAAGAGAAGAACGGGUGUGAGAGUGGAAAGUCAACGCUUGGCGGUAACUUUACAAGAAGCCGAGGCUUACUACGUU